GGGACCGCGGGACCCCGGCGCGGCCGUGCCGGGCCCCGUGCCACCGGGCCGUGUCCCCAGCGGGCGCCCCGUCCCCGGCAGUGCCAAGGACGCGUGCCUGUCCGCACGCUAUCACUGCCGGAUCCCGAUGCCACCGACGGCUCGGCACCUUCCUGCUCCGGUAGACCCCGGGGGAUGACGGUGGAGCGGCCCCAGCCCCGGCUGCUAACCUCGGGAGCUGUCCGGGGCAGCUCCCAGCUCCAUGUUUGUCCGCUCCCGUCCCUCCAGUGCUCCAGGACAGCACCACAGCGCAGCUCGGUGUCACACCGCCCGCGGGCUGACAUCCCCGAGCGGGAGCCGCGGUGGUGGCGGCUGCUGGCCGGCCCGGGGGGUGCUGCCUCCGCUCCUUUCGCUCCCCAUCCCCAGCCCACAUCCCUGGCUCCAUCCCCCAUCCGUCAGGCCUGCCUGCGGCGCUGCCAACCCCCGGCAGCGCACCGAGCGCCCGGGCAGGGGCACAGCCCCGGUGCCGCCCGGUGACCGGGACAGCGGCCAGCCCGGCCGGGCCCCGCCGCGCUCUCUUCCCCGGCGGGCGGGGAAGCACCGGUGAAUCUCCCGGGGCUCGGGAGAGAACAAAGGAGGGCAGCUGCAGCGGAGGGAGCGGCGCUGCCGGAUGCGCUGCAGCGCGGAUAAUCCGCCCCGGCACAGCCCCCGGAGCACCGGCAGCCCCGGCCCGGGGCGUGAGGGCCGUGCGGGGCGGGGAGGGGGCUCAUCCCGGCUCCCCACCCGCCCCAUCCCGGAUCCUCUCCCCGUGUCCCCCCGUUUCAUCCCGCCCCGCGGCCGCGCUCACCCCGGCUAAUGCCGCGCCAUAAAGGAACCGACUUACA